rnacentral:rRNA from 1 species
UACGAAGGGGGCUAGCGUUGUUCGGAAUCACUGGGCGUAAAGGGCUCGUAGGCGGUCUGUCGCGCGGGAGUGAAAACUCAGGGCUUAACCCUGAGCCUGCUUCCGAUACGGGCAGACUAGAGGUAUGCAGGGGAGAACGGAAUUCCUGGUGUAGCGGUGAAAUGCGUAGAUAUCAGGAGGAACACCGGUGGCGAAGGCGGCCCUCUGGACGGUGACUGACGCUGAGACGCGAAAGCGUGGGGAGCAAACAGG